UUUCGAGGCAGCACAGAUCUAUUUUACUAAAGUACAUUAUAUUGAAGGCUAGUUCUGAAGGAUUUUUGGGGCAUUUAUAUAUUGGGAUCAGGUAGGAUAUCAAAUUCUAUAAAUCAUUAACUAUGAACUUAUUCAGUAUCUGACCAGCCCAAGAAAUCACAUGAACUGAAAAUCAAAACAAUACAAGUCUUUUCAGGUUUCCAGCAUUUGUGUUUGACAAACUCAGCGCUAAUAAUACAAAAGGAGUACGUAUUUCAGCAACUUAAUGGGAAGAAAUUUUAACCGGUCUAAUCUAACAAGUUGUCUGAAUUUGAUACUUCUGCAAUAUUUUCCACUGGUGCAUUUGCUAGCAGUAUUCUAUUAAUUUAAACAAUUAUUGUAGAUGGCAGAAGAUGUGGAAUGCAACUCCAAAUGAGUUUUAAAAUACGUAAACUGAAGAUGAAGAACCCCAAAUACUUAAGAGAUCAAAGGCUGCACGGAGGAAGAGAACAGGUGAUCCCCAGGCCAAGAGACCUUGCUACACAUGCUCAGAACCUUGGAAAUCAGCAAGAAGAACAAGUGGAAUCAACAUAUAGGACAUCUGGUCCACUACUACAACUGUACGUGAAAUGAAGCUACCAGAAGAUCCAACGGAUGUGGUGGGAAUUAAAAUUACAGGUUCUCCCCAGGUAAUGGUGUGGUUCCACUUCUAUGGACUGUUAAUGAUGCAAACACGUUGUAAGUUGGAAAUGCAGCAACAAACAAAGUUCCUACACUGCGGAAGAUGCCUGCAGCCCUGCAAAAGCCAGUAAAUUUAUCCCACCAGUCUCCUAAAUGCCUGUUUAUAUGCAUGGACAAUACAUAACGUGGUUAAAUUUGGUUUCCUUUUAUACUACCACAAUGUGCUUCUGUUUGGGAGUACUCUGGAUGAUGUAUAAACAAAGCUCUUCACUACACCUUCAUACAUAUGACAAUAAUGAAACAACUAACAAUUACCAUUCUCUUGAUAUUAAUUUAACUGGUAUGAAAAAUUGCAGAAUUUUUAAUUGCAAAGCAUUUGAGAGAAUGCAGAGGAAUGUCAUCUGGAAGGUGCCUGGACCGGAGGACUUCCGUUCUGGGGACAGAAUGGACAGGCUUGGCUUUUAUUCCCCCUCCCCCUCCCGGAAUAAAGGAAACUGAGAGGUGAGCUGAUAGAAGUAUGUAAGAUGAUACACUGCUAGCUGAGUUUCCACACUGCAAAGCAUGUCUGAAGCCAGUAAGUGCAUCCCGCCUGUCUCCCAAAUGCUUUUUCACAUACACAGGCUGGAGAUAGACUGGGCAUUCAUAAGCUUGGAGGGACCCGUACUAUAUAUUUAAGAGGCAGGUGGACCCUUAAAUGGACAAGCCAUAGAAGGACAUAGCCCUAAUGUGUGCAUACAUGAUUGGUGUAAAUGCACAAAAAUUUUACAAUAGUCAUGGUGAACUAAAAAGCUCUCAUUUGUGCUGUUGAGUGCAACUCAAUUCUCAGGUACCAAUUGUGCUAAUUGUAAAAAUGUUGUGCUAAAAUCAGGCUCCACUUAUAACCCUGAUCAUGGUCUC